rnacentral:rRNA from 1 species
AGAUUAAGUUAUUAAGGGCGCACGGUGGAUGCCUUGGCACUAGAAGCCGAUGAAGGACGUUACUAACGACGAUAUGCUUUGGGGAGCUGUAAGUAAGCUUUGAUCCAGAGAUUUCCGAAUGGGGAAACCCAGCAUGAGUUAUGUCAUGUUAUCGAUAUGUGAAUACAUAGCAUAUCAGAAGGCACACCCGGAGAACUGAAACAUCUUAGUACCCGGAGGAAGAGAAAGAAAAUUCGAUUCCCUUAGUAGCGGCGAGCGAAACGGGAAGAGCCCAAACCAACAAGCUUGCUUGUUGGGGUUGUAGGACACUCUAUACGGAGUUACAAAGGACGACAUUAGACGAAUCAUCUGGAAAGAUGAAUCAAAGAAGGUAAUAAUCCUGUAGUCGAAAAUGUUGUCUCUCUUGAGUGGAUCCUGAGUACGACGGAGCACGUGAAAUUCCGUCGGAAUCUGGGAGGACCAUCUCCUAAGGCUAAAUACUCUCUAGUGACCGAUAGUGAACCAGUACCGUGAGGGAAAGGUGAAAAGCACCCCGGAAGGGGAGUGAAAUAGAACCUGAAACCGUGUGCUUACAAGUAGUCAGAGCCCGUUAAUGGGUGAUGGCGUGCCUUUUGUAGAAUGAACCGGCGAGUUACGAUUUGAUGCAAGGUUAAGCAGUAAAUGUGGAGCCGUAGCGAAAGCGAGUCUGAAUAGGGCGUUUAGUAUUUGGUCGUAGACCCGAAACCAGGUGAUCUACCCUUGGUCAGGUUGAAGUUCAGGUAACACUGAAUGGAGGACCGAACCGACUUACGUUGAAAAGUGAGCGGAUGAACUGAGGGUAGCGGAGAAAUUCCAAUCGAACCUGGAGAUAGCUGGUUCUCUCCGAAAUAGCUUUAGGGCUAGCCUCAAGUGAUGAUUAUUGGAGGUAGAGCACUGUUUGGACGAGGGGCCCCUCUCGGGUUACCGAAUUCAGACAAACUCCGAAUGCCAAUUAAUUUAACUUGGGAGUCAGAACAUGGGUGAUAAGGUCCGUGUUCGAAAGGGAAACAGCCCAGACCACCAGCUAAGGUCCCAAAAUAUAUGUUAAGUGGAAAAGGAUGUGGCGUUGCCCAGACAACUAGGAUGUUGGCUUAGAAGCAGCCAUCAUUUAAAGAGUGCGUAAUAGCUCACUAGUCGAGUGACACUGCGCCGAAAAUGUACCGGGGCUAAACAUAUUACCGAAGCUGUGGAUUGUCCUUUGGACAAUGGUAGGAGAGCGUUCUAAGGGCGUUGAAGCAUGAUCGUAAGGACAUGUGGAGC